GCUCCCAUGGCGUAAUGAUCACUGCGCUCGCCUUGCACGCGGGAGACCCGGGUUCGAUUCCCGGCGGGGUCA
rfam:Asian citrus Psyllid, Diaphorina citri - Florida Strain, whole genome shotgun sequence.